GACGAACGCUGGCGGCGUGCUUAACACAUGCAAGUCGAACGGAAAGUCCCUGCUUUUUUGGGGUGCUCGAGUUGCGAACUGGUGAGUAACACUUGAGUAACCUGCCCUUGACUUUGUGAUAACUUCAUGAAACUUGGUCUAAUACCGGAUAGGAUCUCCUGCUGCAUGGUGGGGGUUGGUAAGUUUCGGCGGUUGGGGAUGUACUCGCGGCUUAUCAGCUUGUUGGUGGGGUAGUGGCUUACCAAGGCUUUGACGGGUAGCCGGCCUGAGAGGGUGACCGGACACAUUGGGACUGAGAUAAGGCACAGACUCGAACGGGAGGCAGCAGUGGAGAAUAUUGCACAAUGGGAGGAAGCAUGAUGCAGAAAAGCAGCGUGCGGGAUGACGGGAAUCGGGUAGGAAAACGAAUUCGACUGUGACGAAGAGUGAGUGACGGUAAUGGGUAAAGAAGCACCGGCUAACUACGUG
rnacentral:rRNA from 1 species